CGCAGCUUACACAUGCAGCUCGAGCGGGUAGCACAGGGAGAGCUUGCUCCCUGGGAUGACNAGCGGCGAGGACGGGUGAGUAAUGUCUGGGAAACUGCCUGAUGGAGGGGGAUAACUACUGGAAACGGUAGCUAAUACCGCAUAACGUCGCAAGACCAAAGGAGAGGGGGACCUUCGGGCCUCUUGCCAUCAGAUGUGCCCAGAUGGGAUUAGCUAGUAGGUGGGGUAAUGGCUCACCUAGGCAAGACGAUCCCUAGCUGGUCUGAGAGGAUGACCAGCCACACUGGAAUGACUGAGACACGGUCCAGACUCCUAACGGGAGGCAGCAGUGGGGAAUAUUGCCAAUUCAGGCACAAUGGGCGCAAGCCUGAUGCAGCCAUGCCGCGUGUGUGAAGAAGGCCUUCGGGUUGUAAAGCACUUUCAGCGAGGAGGAAGGUGGUGANCUUAAUACGUUCAUCAAUUGACGUUACUCGCAGAAGAAGGCACCGGCUAACUCCGUGCCAGCANCCUGCGGUAAUACGGAGGGUGCAAGCGUUAAUCGGAAUUACUGGGCGUAAAGCGCACAGCAGGCGGUUUGUUAAGUCGUAAGAUGUGAAAUCCCCGGAUGCUCAACCUGGGAACUGCAUUUGAAACUGGCAAGCUAGAGUCUCGUAGAGGGGGGUAGAGAUUCCANGUGUAGCGGCAUGAAAUGCGUAGAGAUCUGGAGGAAUACCGGUGGCGAAGGCGGCCCCCCAU
rnacentral:rRNA from 1 species